rnacentral:rRNA from 1 species
UACGAAGGGGGCUAGCGUUGCUCGGAAUCACUGGGCGCAAAGCGCACGUAGGCGGCUUUCUAAGUCAGGGGUGAAAUCCUGGAGCUCAACUCCAGAACUGCCUUUGAUACUGGAGAGCUUGAGUCCGGGAGAGGUGAGUGGAACUCCGAGUGUAGAGGUGAAAUUCGUAGAUAUUCGGAAGAACACCAGUGGCGAAGGCGGCUCACUGGCCCGGUACUGACGCUGAGGUGCGAAAGCGUGGGGAGCAAACAGGG